GGGGAUUCAUGUGAAUUUCCUAAAAAUGGAAGCAAAAAGUAAAACUAAAAUUAUUAAGAGAGCAUAUACUCACAUACAGUGUGGCGAAAGCCACUUUGACACUGAGGUUUGGAGGGGACUACUUGCCAGACUUUUACCCUGUGACUAUGGCCCCUUUAAUUUAUUGUGGUUGAGAGACCCUAUUUGUGCCUAUUGGGACUUUGAACAAUGGUUCUUCGAACUUUCGAAGUAGUUCGAAG